GCGUUCUUUACAUAUUAACACAGAAUUUAACCACACAGACGAGAAGGACAAACACAGGAGGGAUCUGCGCACCGCAGUCAGAGAUGCCGCUAAAGGAUUGUUUUUCAUCAGUUUUAAAGAAAACAUAUGCAUUUCUAAAACGACAUUCUUUUUUGUUCCUUUUUCUAUCGAGUCUUUUGCUAAUCGGAUUUGAGGAGUUCAUGGAGGUAGAAGUUUUUUCAUGUCCGUGCAAACACGAUCUGAACAUACAAAUAACUGUGUGCGUCUUCAUCGGACCCGCUCUUUUUAUUUUUGAAAUACUCUUUCUCUUUUUAAGGCCUUUUAAAGAGAAAUGCAGUAAUUGCUGUGCAGGAGCAGAUGAUGACAGACGACAGAACUGUCCUAGAGCUUUCAUAUCAUGUCUGAUUCCACCCGUAAUGUGGGUCAUCAUCUUGUUACUUGAUGGAGAUUACUUUGCUUGUGCUAUGACAUAUUGGAAAGGAACUUUCACGUUUGACAAUCAGCUCAAAAGGUUGUGGUGUGAACCUGUGGAAAAGUUCAGAAAUGUGACAGCGCUACGAAAUUUGACUCAAACAUAUAUCCAUCAAUCUCAGAUUUAUGGUUAUGGUGUGAGUGCUGUCUUCAUCGUCUUUCCAAUUAUCUAUGUGGGAAUUUGUGACUGCUGCGGAAAAUCUGCCUGCUGAUCCGAAGCUGGACAUGACUGAACACAAAUGAAUAAAUCUGUUGCUCUCCAGCAUCACACAGCCUGAGAACAGACAUUGUAUACAUUGUAUACCACUAUAUCUGUUUUAGAAUACUUUAAAUGCAUUCAAAAAUUAUAGCAGUGAGCAUAAAAUUACAUAAAAUUGAAUGGAUUCGCCUCCAAAAGAGGACCCUGCCUCCUUUCUGCUCCCUAAAAGCGAAAGUGAAAGUAAAAAAUAUAUACAUAUUGGUAUUAUAUGCUGACAUAUCAAUAACACAGGAAAUGAAAGGACAGCUGAUGCCUAGUUCCUCCAUGAGUGGUUUCAACUUUUUAAUAAUUUGUAGUUUUAUACUUUGUGACAUAAUAUGUGCUGAAAAAGCAAUCUUUGUAAACUUGAUACUGAUACUGUCUAAUAACAUGUCCAUGUAUUAUAUUAACUAUAUAAUACAUAUAUAAUAACUAUAUAAUAAUUUAAUAAACUAUUUAGUUUAAUCAUGGAUAUUACACACUGCAAUCUUGAAGUGUUUAUGAAACUAUGCCAAUGUUAUAUAUUUCAAGCACAAGGAAUGCCACUGUAAAGCAGCUUGAUUCCUUUCAUUCUUAUUUCUGAUUGUUCUGAUGAUGCUGUUGUUUGUUUGGAGUGACUUUUAAAACAGAACAAUUCUGACCAAACUCAGUAUUAUUAAUUGAACUUCCCUUAGUGCUGUGUUCUAUACGUGUUUCUUUUAACCAUAAGUUUUGUGCUUUUUAUUUUUUGUGCAAAUUAAUAUUUUUUUUUCCAUUAUAGUUUAUCUAGUCUUUAACAGUAAAAUAUGAU